rnacentral:rRNA from 1 species
GACGAACGCUGGCGGCGUGCCUAAUACAUGCAAGUCGAGCGAGCUUGCCUAGAUGAUUUUAGUGCUUGCACUAAGUGAAACUAGAUACAAGCGAGCGGCGGACGGGUGAGUAACACGUGGGUAACCUGCCCAAGAGACUGGGAUAACACCUGGAAACAGAUGCUAAUACCGGAUAACAACACUAGACGCAUGUCUAGAGUUUGAAAGAUGGUUCUGCUAUCACUCUUGGAUGGACCUGCGGUGCAUUAGCUAGUUGGUAAGGUAACGGCUUACCAAGGCAAUGAUGCGUAGCCGAGUUGAGAGACUGAUCGGCCACAUUGGGACUGAGACACGGCCCAGACUCCUACGGGAGGCAGCAGUGGGGAUAUUGCACAAUGGGGAAACCCUGAUGCAGCGACGCCGCGUGAAGGAAGAAGGGCC